UGGGGAAUUUUGGACAAUGGACGCAAGUCUGAUCCAGCCAUGCCGCGUGCGGGAAGAAGGCCUUCGGGUUGUAAACCGCUUUUGUCAGGGAAGAAACGCUCUGGGUUAAUGCCUCGGGGUAAUGACGGUACCUGAAGAAUAAGCACCGGCUAACUACGUGCCAGCAGCCGCGGUAAUACGUAGGGUGCAAGCGUUAAUCGGAAUUACUGGGCGUAAAGCGUGCGCAGGCGGUUAUGCAAGACAGAUGUGAAAUCCCCGGGCUCAACCUGGGAACUGCAUUUGUGACUGCAUAGCUGGAAUGCGGCAGAGGGGGAUGGAAUUCCGCGUGUAGCAGUGAAAUGCGUAGAUAUGCGGAGGAACACCGAUGGCGAAGGCAAUCCCCUGGGCCUGCACUGACGCACAUGCACGAAAGCGUGGGGAGCAAACA
rnacentral:rRNA from 1 species